rnacentral:rRNA from 1 species
AGUGAACGCUGGCGGUAGGCCUAACACAUGCAAGUCGAACGGCAGCACAGUAAGAGCUUGCUCUUACGGGUGGCGAGUGGCGGACGGGUGAGGAAUACAUCGGAAUCUACUUUUUCGUGGGGGAUAACGUAGGGAAACUUACGCUAAUACCGCAUACGACCUACGGGUGAAAGCAGGGGAUCUUCGGACCUUGCGCGAUUGAAUGAGCCGAUGUCGGAUUAGCUAGUUGGCGGGGUAAAGGCCCACCAAGGCGACGAUCCGUAGCUGGUGUGAGAGGAUGAUAGGCGACACGGGAGGGGAGACACGCUCCAGACUCCUACGAGAGGCAGCAGUGGGGAAUAUUGGACAAUGGGCGCAAGCAUGAUCCAGUGAUACCGCGUGGGUGAAGAAGGCCUUGGGGUUGUAAAGCCCGUUUGUUGGGAAAGAAAAGCAGCCGGUUAAUACCCCGCUGUUCUGACGGUACCCAAAGAAUAAGCACCGGCUAACUUCGUG